rnacentral:rRNA from 1 species
GACGAACGCUGGCGGCGUGCUUAACACAUGCAAGUCGAACGGAAAGGCCCUGCUCUUGUUGGGUGCUCGAGUGGCGAACGGGUGAGUAACACGUGAGUAACCUGCCCUUGACUGUGGGAUAACUUCAGGAAACUGGGGCGAAUACCGGAUAGGAGCUCCUGCUGCAUGGGGGGGGUUGGAGAGUUUCGGCGGUUGGGGAUGGACUCGAGGCUUAUCAGCUUGUUGGUGGGGUAGUGGCGUACCAAGGCUUUGACGGGUAGCCGGCCUGAGAGGGUGACCGGCCACAUUGGGACUGAGAGACGGACCAGACUCCUACGGGCGGCAGCAGUGGGGAAUAUUGCACAAUGGGCGGAAGCCUGAUGCAGAAACGCCGCGUGCGGGAUGACGGCCUUCGGGUUGUAAACCGCUUUCGCCUGUGACGAAGCGUGAGUGACGGUAAUGGGUAAAGAAGCACCGGCUAACUACGUG